GGGAAAAGCUUGCUUUUCCGCCGGCGACCGGCGCACGGGUGCGGAACGCGUAUGGAACCUGCCCCUGUCAGGGGAAUAGCCCAGGGAAACUUGGAUUAAUGCCCCAUGGUACCGCGAUAUCGCAUGAUAUUGCGGUUAAAGAUUUAUCGGACAGGGAUGGCCAUGCGUACCAUUAGUUAGUUGGUGGGGUAACGGCCCACCAAGGCAGCGAUGGUUAGGGGCCCUGAGAGGGGGAUCCCCCACACUGGUACUGAGACACGGACCAGACUCCUACGGGAGGCAGCAGUGAGGAAUAUUGGACAAUGGGCGGGAGCCUGAUCCAGCCAUGCCGCGUGCAGGAUGACGGCCCUAUGGGUUGUAAACUGCUUUUAUACGGGAAGAAAUGCGCCCACGUGUGGGCGUCUGACGGUACCGUAAGAAUAAGGACCGGCUAACUCCGUGCCAGCAGCCGCGGUAAUACGGAGGGUCCGAGCGUUAUCCGGAAUCAUUGGGUUUAAAGGGUCCGUAGGCGGGCCUGUAAGUCAGGGGUGAAAGUUUGUGGCUCAACCAUAAAAUUGCCUUUGAUACUGCAGGUCUUGAGUCAUGGUGGGGUCGCCGGAACAUGUGGUGUAGCGGUGAAAUGCAUAGAUAUCACAUAGAACACCGAUCGCGAAGGCAGGUGGCCAACCAUGUACUGACGCUGAUGGACGAAAGCGUGGGUAGCGAACGGGAUUAGAUACCCCGGUAGUCCACGCCGUAAACGAUGGAUACUAGCUGUGGGGACUUCGGUCUCCGUGGCCA
rnacentral:rRNA from 1 species